rnacentral:rRNA from 1 species
AUUGACGCCGGCGGCAUGCUUUACACAUGCAAGUCGAACGGUAACGGGGACUUCGGUCUGCCGACGAGUGGCGAACGGGUGAGUAAUAUAUCGGAACGUGCCCCAGUAAUGGGGGAUAGCUCGGCGAAAGCCGGAUUAAUACCGCAUACGCCCCUGAGGGGGGAAAGUGGGGGAUCGUUCGGACCUCACGUUAUUGGAGCGGCCGAUAUCAGAUUAGCUAGUUGGUGAGGUAAAGGCUCACCAAGGCGACGAUCUGUAGCGGGUCUGAGAGGAUGAUCCGCCACACUGGGACUGAGACACGGCCCAGACUCCUACGGGAGGCAGCAGUGGGGAAUUUUGGACAAUGGGCGCAAGCCUGAUCCAGCCAUGCCGCGUGAGUGAAGAAGGCCUCGGUGUAAG